AAAAUAAGAACAAAAGUACAAGAAUAUCAAGGGAAUUAAUGAGAAAAGAUACAAAGGAUGGUGACCUAGCCGUACCAGACCUAAAACUGUAUUAUAAAUCACCAGGCAGAUACAGGAGAGGUUUGCAUUUCCUUCUCCAGCUCAUUUUACAAAUGUGGAAACUGAGGCAAACAUGAAGGGACCCCUGCCCAGGGUCCCACAACUAGUAAGUGUCUGAGGCUGAAUUUGAACUCAGGAAAAUGAGUCAGACCUGGUGUAUUAUCCACUGUUUCAUCUAGCUUCCUGGCACCUGUUUUGUAGAUGAGGACCUUGAAUCUUUGUGGGAUGAGGGGACUAGAUUAGAGCCCCCCCAGAGACAGGCUGAGCCAGGAUCAGAGGCUGGUCUCUCACUGCAGUCCCCCUCCGUUCUCCUCCUCCGCCUCCUGUGUUGUCUCAGCAAGGCAGGCUGACCGCCGAACCUUUGCUCUGCACCGAGGAGAGACCGGCAGUUGUUGACAGAGUAAUUGAACUUCCCCGUUGCCCCAAUGUCAGACUUCCUUGCCAGACUCGUCCAUCAUCUGUUUCCCAAAUUCGUCAUCUCUUUCCUUCCCGGUGCAGAUGAUCCUUUGAUGACAGAGUCAUUUCUGUUUGUCCCUCUGGUGAUCUCUUUUAGGAUAUCAUCCCAGCAGAGGAGGGGCCGUGCUCUAGAAGCAAAGCCGAAUUGAAUUAACCCCAAAGAAACGUGAGAGAAGCAGUUUGAAAAGCCCCCAAAUGUUCCUAGGGACUAUUUGUGUCCGAUCCUGUGGCCGAGCUCCGCAGAGGGUGUGAUGAGGGCAAAGGCAGAGAGGUGGAAGGUGUGUGUACCUGCGUUCUUGGGUGGCCAGUGUACGGCCAGUGAAGAUUGGAGCCAGGCCACUUUUAUGUUUGAUCGGGAGUCCCUGGGAUAGAUUAGAUGGGCAAAAGUGAGCUCAUGCAGACAUUUUGGGGAAAGCCGCCCUGUGGAGGGGGAUUAGAGUUCAGAUUAUUACCAUGUCCAGAAGAGGGGAGGCUGAGAGAGAGCAGGGGAUGUGUUUGUAUCAUGUGCUGGUCACCUAGAGGAUGGUUUGGGACACAGAGACUCAAGAAUCCGGCAGCCAUAUUCAAGCUUUCCUGCCUUCUUGCAGGAGUGAAGUGGAGCACCAUGAGUGCAAAAUGUGUCAUAUACUAUCUGUAUAUGCAGGCCACUGUAUUUGGGAGCGGGCUGGGAGAGGAGAUUGCUUUAUUGCAAAGGAGAGUUCACUGGGUGAUAGAGCAAAUAUCAGGAAAUGACUAAUGUGAAAACAAAAAAUCAUCAACAAAACCCAAGUAAUUUUUAAAAAUGCAAUAGUUUGCUUUUUAGGGAGACAGUGGAAUGCAGUGGAAAGAACUUGGAGUUGUGGGACUUGAGUUCAAAUCCUGCUGUAUCACUUAAGAUUAUGGGCCCAAAGGGCCCAUAGGACCCAAAGGGUCUCUCCCCCUCCUUAAGCCUCAGUUUCCUCAUCUGUAAAGUGAGGGCAUUGCCCUUGUGAUCUCGGAGGUCCUAACCAGCUCCACCUCUGAGAUCCCGUGCCCCCAGACUGUGGGAGGAGCUCUGGAGGUGUUGCAGGUCUGAAAAGGAGCAACUUGAGAGCUUGAGAAUUUGCUUUGGAAUUUUUGAAAGGUUAGUUGAUUGAUUUUUCUUUUCUGAGUCACAAGAUCAUCCUUAGAACUGACUAGAAGGGACUAAGAAAUCAUCUGGUCUAAUUUCCUUUCAUAGAUGAGAAACCUGAAGGUUGAGUGACUGGUUCAGAGUGAAAUAGCUAAUGCAAGGCAAAGCAGAGACUGUCUCCUUGCCCGUGCCCAGGCAGCUCGGUUGGGUACAUAUUGGGCAGAGGCGUGGCUGACUGCUGAGGGCCCUCGCCACCUUCAAGCAUUCUGGGACAUUUUGAGCUGGGGCUGGAGACUUUCUGGGAAAAGGGUCAAUUGCGUUGGGGGGAAGGAGAAAGUUCAAUAGAAAAAAGGGGUGGGUGUGGCUGUGGUCCCAAGCCUGGACCUUGGCAUAGCAAAAGCUCUGAGGCAGAGAGGAUAGUGUGGGAAUGGGGGAGGUUUCUAGCCCCAGUGAUUGGGAGGACAAAUCAUUAAAAGGAAUAGAAAAAUGAGAGGGAGGCGCAUUUAUUAGACACCAACUCGACGCUAAGAGCUCAGGAUACAGAAAAAGGCAAAAAUACUGGGUCUGGAGUUAGAAAGAUUGACUUCAAAUCUAACCUCAGGGACUGACUAGCUGCAAGUCCUCUCUGCCUGCCUCAGUUUCUUCAACUGUAAAAUUGGGAUAAUAGUAGCAUCUCUAUUUCCCAGGGUUGUUGUGAGGAUCAUAUGUAAAGUAUUUUGAAAAUCUUAAAGUUCUAAGAACUGCUAGUUAUAGUAAGAAAAGAAGCUAAAAAAUGCUUCUUGAGGCAUUCAGAUCCCCUUAGCAGCUACCGCAGUAGCCCAGCGUGAGGGGACAGCGGCCUGUAUCAGGGUGGGGGCAGUGAGAAGAGAGAAAGGGGUGUGGUUGAGUUGGUGCAGAGGCAGAAUGGUGAGAGAAGUUGCAAAGAUGAAAUGUGCAAGGAGAAAUGUUGCAAAGGGGAAAGGCACAAGAGGUGUUGCAGAGGUGAAAUCCACAUGAUAUGUUGCAAAGUAGAAAUAAACAAGAGGUGUUGUAGAGGUGAAAUCCAGGAGAAAUAUUGCAAAGGGGAAAUGGACAAGAUUUGCUACAAAGAUGAAAUCAACAUGAGAUGUAGCAAGGGUGAAAUGGACAAGAGAUGCUGCAGAGGUAAAAUGGACAAGAGGUGAAAUCAAGGAGAAAUGUUGAAAAGGUGAAACCCACAGGUGUGGCAGAGGUGAAAUCAACCUGAGAUAUUGUAAAAGUGAAAUGGAUAAGAGUUAUUGCAGAGGUGAAAUCAACAUGAGAUGUUGCAAAGGUGAAAUCAAAAAGAAGUCUUGCAAAGGUGAAAUGGACAAGAGAUGCUGCAGAGGUGAAAUCAACAUGAGAUGUUGCAAAAGUGAAAUGGAUAAGAGAUGCUGCAGGGGUGAAAUCAACAUGAGAUGUUGCAAAGGUGAAAUGGACAAGAGAUGCUGCAGAGGUGAAAUCAACAUGAGAUGUUGCAAAAGUGAAAUGGACAAGAGAUGCUGCAGAGGUGGUAUUUACAGAACUUGGCACCAGCUUCGAUAUGGGGGAUGAGAGACAGUGAGGACUUCAGGAUGGGAACCUAGGGGACUGGGAGGAUGCUAGACCCUGAGGCAAUGAGAAUGGGAGGGGGAGUGUUAAGGGGAACACUUAAGACUGUGGAUUUGUAUAACUGGCUCCCCUGGUGGAAGUUGCUUCCUGGGAAUUUCUUGGAUUAUUCUGCCUGCCAGAUUGUGGGCUAGGCGUGGACCAUCCUUUUCCCUUUCCUCAUCUCAGGCAAAACUGCCAUCAGUGCCACCCAAUCAGUUUGUAGCUGUCAACUGAGAGGGUGAAUGGGAAGGACCUUAAUUAAGACCUGUCUCAUCUACCUCUGACCUGGGCACACACGGUAGGUGGUAGUGAAGUAGGUAGUCAGAAGCCGCAGAGAACACUUGCAUCAGUCAUGUUUAUGAAUGGUCUUCAGAUUUUCUUCCCAGGGUAUGGGUUAACAUUCAGCAAUUAACAGCUUGUCUUCUACAUGGUGUUAAAUCUGGGUGUGAAAUGGUGAUCAGGGUGUGUUUUAUCUGCCAAGAUCCUGGAGUUCAUCAUUAAUCCCUGUCCUUGAACAAAGAAAAGGCACUCAGAGGCUGCCAUUACCACCAUCAUCUUUUUUUUUUUUUCUCAAGGCUCAAAGAUGAAUAUUUUUAAAACAUAAGCAAACAAAAUAAUAGACCUCCAAGGAUCUGACUUAAGUUAGAAAAGAAAAGGAAAUCUGCUUUAAGGCUUCCAGCUUGAGCUUCCCUCCUCCUUGUACCUCAUCCAAGAUCCUUCUCCGACUCCCGUGCCAAAACGUGCAUUCGGCAGUGCACAGCAUCAGAUUUUACCUGCUGUUUGAACAUCUCCCUCUCGUUUCUUCCAAGAAGCACGACUAUGGCAGGUCACAGGUGGAACGAUGUUGGCUACAGUUUGUGGGCUCUAUAGUUUUGUUUGGUGUCAGGUCUAUGGAUGUAAACAGCUGACCCAUGAGAAAGAACUAGUGGCAAUUUUCACAGCCGUCUGUAAAAAAAAAAAAAAAAAAAAGCUGAGAUGCUAUGAUCCUCUUCCCCCUCAGCUACUAGCUUUGCUUUCUAAGGGUAUCUCUCAUCCAUUCUAUAUGUAUCCUGCAUGUUUCUGUUUAUCAGUGGCACCCCCUCUGGCAAGCUAGGUCCCCAGAAGGCGAUUAUUACUAUCAUGUCUUUAGAGUUUCAGGGGUUACCCUGAAUGUUGCUGGAGUUUGUUUGUGAUAAGCUGUUACUGGUGUGCUUUGCACUGAUUAAUAGCCAGACAUAAUUGGCUUUUAGAAAGUGCAUUUACAUUGCAUUGGGAUCUGAAAAGGGAUACUUUUAAUAUUUCUGUUUUUAGCAAUAAAAUGUAUAUGUGGCCAGUUUUUGUAAAAGUUCCAUAAAUUGCUGAGAAGAAAAGUAUCUUUCUUUCUAUUUCCAUUCCAUUUUCUCCAGAUAGUUGUCAUUAUCUAGCUUAUCUAAAACUCUGUUCAUUUCCUUGACUUUUUUCUUAUUUAUUUUUGGUUAGAUUUAUCCAGUUCUGAGAGGGGAAGACUAAAGUCCCCUCACUGUUGUAGUACUACUAUCUAUCUCCACUGUAAUUCAUUUACAUUUAUAAAUUUUAGAUGUUAUUGUAUUUGGUUCCAGAGUUCGGUAUUGAUAUUGCUUCAUUGCAAACAGUAUCUUUUGUCAAAAUAUAAUUAAUCUCUUUUUAUCUUUUAAUUUAAUUGAAUUUUGCUUUAAGUUUGUCUGAGAUCAUGAUUGCUACCCUUGCCUUUUUUUUUUGCAUCAAAUAAAGUCUAAUAAAUAAUAUGCCAAUCCUCCAUUUAAAAAAAGAAGAAAGUAUAUUUCUGCAGCAAGUAUAGAAAGGAUGGUUAUGAGAGAAACAAUCUCCCCAAAGUAGGCGUGUGCACUUGCUUUGCACCCAGGGUACCUUGGGGUCAAGAUUAUAGUGAUGGAAGACCCUUGUGCCAAAGGGAGAGGGCAGGCUCUGGGGACAGGAAAUCCUUUUCUCCCUUUGUGGAGUUCCAUGAGGUUCCCCUUGGUUGUGUCUUUCAGAGUUUCAGGGGUUGGUACCUCGUUGAGCUGUGAUGUAGCAUCUGGUUGGUCUUUGGUGUAUCCCUCAGUGUAUUGCUCCUCCUGUGGACACAAGCACUGGCCCCACUGCAAAUCCCAGGCCUUCUGGUCCUUGUAAUGGCCCGGUGGUGACCUGGGCAGUCCCUUGUCUGUACGCUUGGGUGCCUUUCCUCAGGGGUCGGGAUACAUCCUCACGUGCUUCCCUCUGCAUACAUUGUCUCUCACUGACCAGAAUAUGGCCUUUGGGGAGUGGGAGGAGAGAGGGAGAUACCGGUGACUCCGUCGGGGCCCAGAGUGCUGACAGCGCCAGGCGGCAGAGUCAGGAUCUGAAGCCGGGUCCUCAGCUCUGAGAGGCAGAUACCACAGCAGCGCCAUGACACUUGGACCCAAUGAGGACACGAGGCCGGAAGUGAGUUAGAGAAAGAGGAGGCUGGAGAAUUAGCUCUGAGAAAGGUAUCCAGUGACCCUUCUGAGGAUCCCUUCUCCUGGCACGCAGACGGCAGACUGGCACCGAGUGGGAAGGCCGGGGUGUUCCCUGCUAGAGUGACAAGAGUUGGUUCUGUCAGAGUAUCCUGGAGCUGGAGGGGACCGCAGAGCACUACCCCCCCCCCAACAUACAGAAGAGGAAAAGGAAGAGAAAGGAUCUACCCGAAGCCUUGCAGGGAGUGAGGGGCAGACCAGCUCUUCCCACUGCCUCCCGCUCUUGGCUUCUCACUGACCCAUCUGUGCUCCGUGCUGCAGGAGCCCCCCUUUCUGCCAUUUUCAUUCCAGCCAA